CUUUCAACAACGGAUCUCUUGGUUUUGGCUUCGAUGAAGAACGCAGCGAAAUGCGAAAUGUAAUGUGAAUUGCAGAUCAGUGAAUCAUCGAAUCUUUGAACGCAUAUUGCGCCUUUUGGUAUUCCGAAAGGCAUAUUUGUUCGAGCGUCGCAUA
rnacentral:rRNA from 1 species